CUUGUGUCAUGGCGACCACUAAAACAAUGUUUUCAAAGAAAUCCUACAAGAAUUGAACAAAUUUAUAACGAAGAAGAAGCUUUAUAAAUAGUAUUUUUUACUAAAAUGGUAAGCUGUGAUAUAAACUUUAACCUACUGACAAUCUGCUUGCAAUAGAAGUAAAUAUUAGUAUGAAAUUUGGGCUAUUUACAUGUGUGUUUUUCUUCUCACAAUACAUGUAUGCCAGAAAUGACAUCAAAAUAAUGUUAAUAAUUUGAUCUAUUUUGCUUAGAUUCUCUCAAGAACAAAGCCUGCAAUGGGCCCAGGCUCAGCUGGGACAAGCAGGGAAAACAAAAAGAAGAAGAAAAUCCCCAAAGUUGAGGAAUUUUUACAAAACCGAGACUUCACUGGUGCUAGAACUUUGCUUGAG